rnacentral:rRNA from 1 species
GAUCAUGGCUCAGGGUGAACGCUAGCUACAGGCUUAACACAUGCAAGUCGAGGGGCAGCAUGGUCUUAGCUUGCUAAGGCUGAUGGCGACCGGCGCACGGGUGAGUAACGCGUAUCCAACCUUCCCCAUAGUAGGGGAUAGCCCGGCGAAAGUCGGAUUAAUACCCUAUGUUAUUCGAUGCAGACAUCUAAGUUGAAUCAAAGGUUUACCGCUAUGGGAUGGGGAUGCGUCUGAUUAGGUUGCAGGCGGGGUAACGGCCCACCUGGCCCACGAUCAGUAGGGGUUCUGAGAGGAAGGUCCCCCACAUUGGAACUGAGACACGGUCCAAACUCCUACGGGAGGCAGCAGUGAGGAAUAUUGGUCAAUGGACGAGAGUCUGAACCAGCCAAGUAAGCGUGCAGGACGACGGCCCUAUGGGUUGUAAACUGCUUUUAUGCGGGGAUAAAGUGAGGGACGUGUCCCUUUUUGUAGGUACCGCAUGAAUAAGGACCGGCUAAUUCCGUGCCAGCCGCAGC